rnacentral:rRNA from 1 species
UACGGGGGGUGCGAGCGUUGUCCGGAAUCACUGGGCGUAAAGGGCGCGUAGGUGGCGUGAUAAGGGUGUGGUGAAAGCCCGGGGCUCAACUCCGGAAUUGCCUUUAAGACUGCAUCGCUCGAAUUGUGGAGAGGUAAGUGGAAUUCCGAGUGUAGAGGUGAAAUUCGUAGAUAUUCGGAAGAACAUCAGUGGCGAAGGCGACUUACUGGACACAUAUUGACGCUGAGGUGCGAAAGCGUGGGGAGCAAACAGG